UAAUACGUAGGGGGCAAGCGUUGUCCGGAAUCACUGGGCGUAAAGCGCGCGCAGGCGGUCAUCUACGUCUGGGGUGAAAGCCCGGAGCUCAACUCCGGGAUUGCCUUGGAUACGGGAUGACUUGAGGAUCGGAGAGGCAAGGGGAAUUCCACGUGUAGCGGUGAAAUGCGUAGAGAUGUGGAGGAACACCUGUGGCGAAGGCGCCUUGCUGGCCGAUUUCUGACGCUGAGGCGCGAAAGCGUGGGGAGCAAACAGGAUUAGAUACCCUGGUAGUCCACGCCGUAAACGAUGAGUGCUAGGUGUUGGGGGGUACCACCCUCAGUGCCGAAGCUAACGCAUUAAGCACUCCGCCUGGGGAGUACGGUCGCAAGACUG
rnacentral:rRNA from 1 species